rnacentral:tRNA from 1 species
GGGCCUGUAGCUUAGUCAGGUAGAGCAUCCGGCUUUUAACCGGACGGCCGUGGGUUCAAAUCCCAUCAGGCCCGCCU